ACUCUGUGGAUGCGGAUGAGCAGCAGACAAGCUGUGGCCCAACAACGGGUUCAUACUAUACGGAAAACUGAAGCGCUGCAGAUCUGGCAUGAACGGCGGCUUAUUGAACAAAAUGCGACAGCGUUUCAACAACAAACGGCACAGUUGUUUGUGGUAGGGUAUAAUCCUGUUAUGGAUGCUAAAGAAUUCUGGGACAAGUUUAGAAAGGUUUGAACAUUCCAUUCUUACACUAGACAUUUAGAUCCAACACUGCGGUUAUGCCCCUAAGCAACGAAAUUUAGGCACCAUUACUCAAUGGAAACCACUAGACUAUGUGGAUAACUUCUAUAAACUCCAGUAAUGGCAGUUAAAAGUUUUUGCAUUAUUCAAAGGCUACUACUUAAGUUUUUACACAUACAAAAAAAAAAAACCACAAUUGUGCACCAAGUGAUAAUUUUUUUGAUGCUGUAUUGUACCACAAGUACUUGGCAGUUGUAUAUUCAGACAUCACAGGGACAUACAUUGUGGCAAGAGAACUAGCACUAAUCGAAGAAAAACCUUAAAUUUAGAUAACGGUCAGGUUUCACUGUUAGCACCUGGAACAAGACAAAAGCUCAUUUCAAUGUUGGACUGCAAAUGGCAGAAUAUACACAUGUACUGAUUCAUGUUUGAGAUGCAGCUCUGCUAGUUAAGUAAAGACGAGUAACAGAACCAAUAGAAGGAAUGCAUGAGCAUUCAGGAUUUGGAACACUUUCUGGUGGAACAGAGGCUACAGGUGAGGAAGUUGGAACUAAAGUACAGAACUUGAAAACCUUAUGUAUUUACCAGUGCACAUCUCCCCAGACCACAUACUUGCCAGUCAUUUAUUUUUAAGCAUCAAGUUAGUAAUAAAGAAUUACAUUUGAUGUACCACAAGAGACAGCAGUUCUCACAGAGGACUUUUAUUCCAUCACAAGUUUUAGCAGACUAAUGCCUUCAAUAUUUUUAUAUUUAUUUAUCCUCACACAAACAGAACAGGGCUUUUCCAUAUAAAAAAAUAAUUGGUCUACAACUUGGAGCAUGGCACUUCAAGCAGUUUGUAACCAGGUGGGAUUUACUCCUUGGAUGCCAUGUAGGCCAUCAGGUCACA